rnacentral:rRNA from 1 species
UAGGGAAUCUUCGGCAAUGGACGAAAGUCUGACCGAGCAACGCCGCGUGAGUGAAGAAGGUUUUCGGAUCGNAAAACUCUGUUGGUAGAGAAGAACGUUGGUGAGAGUGGAAAGCUCAUCAAGUGACGGUAACUACCCAGAAAGGGACGGCUAACUACGUGCCAGCAGCCGCGGUAAUACGUAGGUCCCGAGCGUUGUCCGGAUUUAUUGGGCGUAAAGCGAGCGCAGGUGGUUUAUUAAGUCUGGUGUAAAAGGCAGUGGCUCAACCAUUGUAUGCAUUGGAAACUGGUAGACUUGAGUGCAGGAGAGGAGAGUGGGA